rnacentral:lncRNA from 1 species
GUUUGUGGUAAAGUAGGUAGAAUGUGUGGUUUGGGGUAAAGAAGGUAGAAUGUGUGGUUUGGGGUAAAGAAGGUAGAAUGUGUGGUUUGUGGUAAAGUAGGUAGAAUUUGUGGUUUGGGGUAAAGAAGGUAGAAUGUGUGGUUUGUGGUAAAGUAGGUAGAAUGUGUGGUUCGGGGUAAAGAAGGUAGAAUGCGUGGUUUGGGGUAAAGAAGGUAGAAUGUGUGGUUUGUGGUAAAGUUGAUAGAAUGUGCGGUUUGGGGUAAAGAAGGUAGAAUGUGUGGUUUGGGGUAAAGAAGGUUGAAUGUGUGGUUUGGGGAAAAGUAGGUAGAAUGUGUGGUUUGGGUUAAAGUAGGUGAAUGUGUGGUUUCGGUUAAAGUAGGUAGAAUGUGUGGUUUGGGGUAAAGAAGGUUGAAUGUGUGGUUUGG